rnacentral:rRNA from 1 species
UUUGACACGGACUACCAGGGCUUUGUGAUGCGCUCUCGACGAGUCGAGUUGUUUGGGAAUGCAGCUCAAAUAGGGUGGUAAAUUCCAUCUAAAGCUAAAUACAGGCGAGAGACCGAUAGCGAACAAGUACCGUGAGGGAAAGAUGAAAAGAACUUUGGAAAGAGAGUUAAACAGUACGUGAAAUUGCUGAAAGGGAAACGCUUGAUGUCAGUCGCGUCGACCGGGGAUCAGUCUUGCUU